rnacentral:rRNA from 1 species
UACGGAGGAUGCGAGCGUUAUCCGGAUUUAUUGGGUUUAAAGGGUGCGCAGGCGGCGUGUCAAGUCAGCGGUAAAAUGUCGGGGAUCAACCCCGGCCGGCCGUUGAAACUGGCGUGCUCGAGUUGGAGAGAAGUAUGCGGAAUUCGUGGUGUAGCGGUGAAAUGCAUAGAUAUCACGAAGAACCCCGAUUGCGAAGGCAGCAUACCGGCUCCACACUGACGCUGAGGCACGAAAGCGUGGGUAUCGAACAGG